GCAGUGGUGGUUCAGUGGUAGAAUUCUCACCUUCCACGUGGGAGACCCGGGUUCGAUUCCCGGCCAAUGCA
rnacentral:tRNA from 1 species